rnacentral:rRNA from 1 species
AUCUUUCUUAUUUAUAUAAAUAAGAAUUUGUUUUUUAAGUUAAAAAACUUAAGUAUUCUUAUAGGACGAGAAGACCCUAUAGAACUUUAUCUAUAAAAUAUUUAUUUAAGUAUUUUAUAGAUUAUAUUGGGGUGAUAUUUAUUUUUUAUUAACAAUAUUUGUUUUUUUCAAUAAUUUUUGAUUUUUUGAUCCAAUUUUUUUGAUUAUAAGUUUAAGUUACCUUAGGGAUAACAGCGUAAUUUAAUUGGAGAGUUCUUAUCGAUAAUUUAAGCUUGCGACCUCGAUGUUGAAUUAAGAAUUAGAAUUAGGGGUAGUUUUUUAUAUUCUUUGGUCUGUUCGACCAUUAAUUUCUUACAUGAUUUGAGUUAAGACCGGCGUGAGCCAGGUCGGUUUCUAUCCUUAAUAUUUAUUAUUAUUCUUUAGUACGAGAGGACCAAGAAUUUAAUUAAUUAAUU